AACGCACAUUGCGCCCUCUGGUAUUCCGGAGGGCAUGCCUGUUCGAGCGUCAUUAUCACCCCUCAAGCCCGGCUUGUUGUUGGUCGUAGCGGGUAAUACCGCUCUACCCAAAGAUAAUGACGGCGUCUGUGAGGACUCCUGUACACUGAGCUUUCGGGCACGUACUAGGUUAGAACUUCAGACCCGGUCUUUCGUUUCCCCUCGUGGGAGACACCACUUUUUAUACAAGGUUGACCUCGGAUCAGGUAGGGAUACCCGCUGAACUUAA
rnacentral:misc_RNA from 1 species